GAUGAACGCUGGCGGCGUGCCUAAUACAUGCAAGUCGAGCGAACGGACGAGAAGCUUGCUUCUCUGAUGUUAGCGGCGGACGGGGGAGUAACACGUGGAUAACCUACCUAUAAGACUGGGAUAACUUCGGGAAACCGGAGCUAAUACCGGAUAAUAUUUUGAACCGCAUGGUUCAAAAGUGAAAGACGGUCUUGCUGUCACUUAUAGAUGGAUCCGCGCUGCAUUAGCUAGUUGGUAAGGUAACGGCUUACCAAGGCAACGAUGCAUAGCCGACCUGAGAGGGUGAUCGGCCACACUGGAACUGAGACACGGUCCAGACUCCUACGGGAGGCAGCAGUAGGGAAUCUUCCGCAAUGGGCGAAAGCCUGACGGAGCAACGCCGCGUGAGUGAUGAAGGUCUUCGGAUCGUGAAACUCUGUUAUUAGGGAAGAACAUAUGUGUAAGUAACUGUGCACAUCUUGACGGUACCUAAUCAGAAAGCCACGGCUAACUACGUG
rnacentral:rRNA from 1 species